AAACUAAUCCAACUCUCUCGUUCUCCCAAAUUCCCAAAUCUCAUAAAAAUUCAUCCCCUUCAAAUUCUCUUAGAUCUCAGGGAGAUGAAGGUGGGGGAAAAAGAAGAGGAAAAGAAAAAAAGUUGUGCUGGGAAUUUCCUUUUGAGACUCAAAGUUUUCUUUUAGAGCUGAAAAAUUUGAGAGUCACCUUAAGAAAACACUGGCUAGAAAAUACAGUAAUACGUUCAAAGAAGAGGGUGCCUUAGUUUGGUCAAGAUAUCAAGCUUUCAUUCCAUUUGCAUUUGUUUACUCGAGUUUCGCUUGAGGUCCAAAUCCAUGAUGGAAGUCUCCCCUAGCUCGUGCGGUCCUGCUUCAUUGCCCAGAUAAAGAGGGUCGUGAAGAAUGAUAUUCCUUUCUAUCAAGUUAAGCCAUGAAGAUUGACGUACGGAUCCCAAGGUUGAAGGAAUCAAAGCCAAUCGGAGAGUUGAAGAAGUUAUGCCCAGAGGGCCUACUUUUAUUAUAGUUAUUUUGUUAGUAUAAGAGAGGUACAAUCGAAGUGGGCCUAAGACCCAAAAUAAAUGGGUGAAAAACACCGGUCCAGACGAACAGAAAUCGCAUUUAGACCCAACUCUCUCUUUCCCUUUCUUUUA